UCACCGGUAGCGUAGUGGUCAUCGCAUCAGACUAGUAUUCUGGAGGUCGUGGGUUCGGAUCCCACCCGGUGGG
rnacentral:tRNA from 1 species